UUGGCUUUUCUUCGGCUCCUCCGCGAUUGACGGAACUUCACUGAAGAUGUCUAAGCAACAACCAACUCAGUUUAUAAAUCCAGAAACACCUGGCUAUGUUGGAUUUGCAAAUCUUCCUAACCAAGUUCACCGAAAAUCAGUGAAAAAAGGUUUUGAGUUCACACUAAUGGUGGUCGGUGAAUCGGGGCUAGGAAAAUCGACUCUUAUAAACAGCCUGUUCUUGACGGAUCUUUACCCAGAAAGAAUCAUACCUGGAGCUGCAGAGAAAAUUGAAAGAACAGUCCAAAUUGAGGCUUCUACUGUUGAGAUUGAAGAGCGAGGGGUCAAGCUGCGCCUGACGGUGGUGGACACACCCGGCUAUGGUGAUGCCAUCAACUGCAGGGAUUGCUUCAAGACCAUCAUCUCCUACAUUGACGAGCAGUUCGAGCGGUACCUACAUGAUGAGAGCGGCCUCAACCGACGGCACAUCGUGGACAACAGGGUACACUGCUGCUUCUAUUUCAUCUCGCCCUUUGGACAUGGACUUAAGCCCUUAGAUGUCGCGUUUAUGAAGGCGAUACACAACAAGGUCAAUAUUGUGCCUGUCAUUGCGAAAGCUGAUACCCUCACUCUGAAGGAACGGGAACGUUUGAAGAAAAGGAUUCUGGAUGAAAUUGAAGAACAUAACAUCAAAAUCUAUCACUUACCUGAUGCAGAAUCAGAUGAAGAUGAAGAUUUUAAAGAGCAGACCAGACUUCUCAAGGCCAGUAUCCCGUUCUCUGUGGUUGGAUCCAAUCAGCUGAUAGAAGCCAAAGGCAAGAAGGUCCGAGGCCGCCUCUAUCCGUGGGGUGUCGUGGAAGUGGAGAACCCAGAACACAACGACUUUCUGAAGCUGAGGACAAUGCUCAUCACUCACAUGCAGGACCUCCAGGAGGUGACCCAGGACCUUCACUAUGAGAACUUCCGUUCUGAGAGGCUCAAAAGGGGCGGCAGAAAGGUGGAAAAUGAGGACAUGAAUAAAGAUCAGAUCUUGCUGGAAAAGGAAGCUGAGCUCCGCCGCAUGCAGGAGAUGAUCGCCAGGAUGCAGGCACAGAUGCAGCUGCAGAUGCAGGGCGGAGACGGUGACGGCGCAGUUCACGGGCACCACGUGUGAGAAAACGUUUUGCAAGAUAAAGAAAGUAUUCCAAAUGAGAAAUACAGCUCUGUGUUUUCAAGAAAUUGUUGGAGAAGUGAGCAUUCACACUUUACAGUGCCUGUGGCCCAAGAAUUUAAUUUUUUAAAAAAUUGUUGAUGUGUUCUUUUGUAUGAAGUACUUUUAACAUUUAUAUUCAUUACUAGAGGGUAGACUUUAUAUUUUGUGAGUGAACUUUGCAUUUUCAUUUUCUUUCACCUUAACUAACCACUAAUGUUAGAUUUCAUUUCCAGGGAUCAGUCGGCAUGUAUGUUAAAAUGAUUUGACUGGCCUAACCAACUAGUCAUGGAGGAGCACUCUUGAUUAGUUAUUUACCCCAAAUAUUCUGAGUGGUAGAGAUAUGCAUCUAAUGACAUAGAAGGUACCCGGCCAUUUACUUACCUGGAGCACCAUGUGGAGAUUCUUCCCUGCCUUCCUUUCUGUUUGAUCACAAUACCCAAGACCAGUUUUGCUGCUACAAUACAAUACCGUUAAUUCAUCUGCACAUUCAUCUGUUUACCAAAUGAAAAAUAAUUAUGUAAUGAGAUAUAUGCUUAUACUUAAGUAGCUUUCUUUUAAAAACAGGCUUUUAGGGGUAAAUUUUAGAAAUUUCUACAUUCUUAUACUAGGUCAUUUUUUAAACCACUGGGCAGGGAGAACUUGUUACAGCCACUUUUUAUAGUGUUUUCCACUAAUACUGGUUAUACUCGGCUAUGGAAAAAGUCAGAGUAUCCAUGAGCUCCAGUUUUCAUAUUGCAACUAAGAUUCUUAUCAACACAAUGAAAGUCAAUAAACUAUUUUUACUCCACUAAGUCAACUUUUUAAAGAAAAUUAGCAGUUGAUCUGUUCAGAAACUGACCUUUUGUAUUUUUAUACUGCACUUUAAUAUAUUUCUGUAACUAAAGGUGUAGAAGAUCUGCCUCAGGAGUGGAAAUGGGGUCCUUUGGUGGGUGCCAAAACCAGAUUUGGCUUUCCUUUAAUUCUUUUUUGAAUGGUUUUCUGAAGAGAGGCAAAUCGCAGUAGUUAUUAUUUUUUUUAUGUGUGUGUGGACUGUGUUGCCUAUUUUUAGCCAUCGUCAUUUCCUUCGUUACGUGUAAUACAAAUUGCUCCAUGUAUCAUGUAAGAAUGAAAAACACUUCAAAACUACACCAUGGGCCAUUUGCAGGUACUGCCAGUCAAAGCCGCUCCUGGUGGGUUCUCUGUGCUCUGUGGCCUUGGCCCUUCCGUUCCCUCCUGGAAUGUCUUCAUCCUCCACUGUGGCACUCACGCUCUGCACUCCCAGGGUGCUGAUGCUCCAAGGCCUGCUUUUAUUCAACAUUUCUACUGAAGUUGAAAAAGAAAGUGACAGAUGAAAGGAGACCUGGAGGGAGCAGGUGCUGGUUCACUAUUUUCAUUUUGCUAUAACAGGAGGGGUUAAAAUAGAGAAAAUGCUUAAUCUGAGAAUGAAGAGGGUUUUUUGGUUUUGGUCAAAAAAUAACAUGAGGUCAAAAUAUGUUAGUUACAAAAGUGUACUACAGAAAAUAAUACGGUAUUUUUGCUAACUUGGCCCCUCACUGUUAACUAUUGUGAAUGGUCAAAACCUUUAGGUUUAGGCAUAUUUUGCAAAGUUUUCAACAAGAAAAGGUGUUCCAUAACUUGAGAGUACCAUCAAGGCCAAUUACUUGGGUUAUUUUGGUACUUAACUGCUAAUAAAAGCUGUUUAAAGGGAGGCAGGGGGACAUUUGCAAGUGAUCUGUGUAAGCUUGUGUGUGUUUGAGUAAAACCAUUCGGGGCUGACUGCACCUAGUAAUGGUUAUGUGAGAUGGGUGGACCUACACCUUUAUACUUUUAAAUCUUUUUUUUUCCCAUUGCUCAAACUGAAAUAGUUUUGCUACUAGAUAACUGUUCUUUUACUAAGCCAUACUCUUUACCUAUAGAAUUGUUAUUUUGAAAAAAUUUUACACAGCCAUUUUGUAUCCAUUGAAAGUAACCUUUCAUCAAUAAAGCACUAUUGUUUAGAGGU